rnacentral:sRNA from 12 species
CGCCUAAACCCUCCGGGGCAUGGCAGAAAAACGCAACGAGCACAAAGAACCCGUCAUCGGGGUCGCUCGUUGCGUCAUAUAGGGAAACCUGUAUGUGAGCCGAAAGGCUC